rnacentral:tRNA from 1 species
GACUCUUUUGGGAAAGCUUUCUUUCUUUUUCUAUGGUGGGGAUAGGUGGUUGCCCUUUCGUCGAAGACACGGGUUCGAUUCCCGUAAGGGUUG